rnacentral:SRP_RNA from 1 species
GCCAGGUGCGGUGGCAUGUGCCUGUAGUCCCAGCUACUCGGGAGGCUGAGGCUGGAGGAUCGCUUGAAUCCAGGAGUUCUUGGCUGUAGUGUGCUAUGCCGAUCGGAUGUCCUCACUAAGUUUGGCAUAAAUAGGGUGACCUCCCGGGAGUGGGGGAGCAGAAGCCUAAGGAGGGGUGAACCAGCCCAGGUCAGAAAUGGAGCAGGUCAAAACUCCUGUGUUGAUCAGUAGUGGGGUCCCCCAUGUGAAUAGCCACUGCACUCCAGCUUGGGCAACAUAGCGAGACCCUCUCUCA